UAGGAGUUUGAUCAUGGCUCAGAUUGAACGCUGGCGGCAGGCCUAAACACAUGCAAGUCGAGCGGUAGAGAGAAGCUUGCUUCUCUUGAGAGCGGCGGACGGGUGAGUAAUGCCUAGGAAUCUGCCUGGUAGUGGGGGAUAACGUUCGGAAACGGACGCUAAUACCGCAUACGUCCUACGGGAGAAAGCAGGGGACCUUCGGGCCUUGCGCUAUCAGAUGAGCCUAGGUCGGAUUAGCUAGUUGGUGGGGUAAUGGCUCACCAAGGCGACGAUCCGUAACUGGUCUGAGAGGAUGAUCAGUCACACUGGAACUGAGACACGGUCCAGACUCCUACGGGAGGCAGCAGUGGGGAAUAUUGGACAAUGGGCGAAAGCCUGAUCCAGCCAUGCCGCGUGUGUGAAGAAGGUCUUCGGAUUGUAAAGCACUUUAAGUUGGGAGGAAGGGUUGUAGAUUAAUACUCUGCAAUUUUGACGUUACCGACAGAAUAAGCACCGGCUAACUCUGUGCCAGCAGCCGCGGUAAUACAGAGGGUACAAGCGUUAAUCGGAAUUACUGGGCGUAAAGCGCGCGUAGGAAAUUUGUUAAGUUGGAUGUGAAAUCCCAGGGCUCAACCUGGGAACUGCAUUCAAAACUGACUGACUAGGGUAUGGUAGAGGGUGGUGGAAUUUCCUGUGUAGCGGUGAAAUGCGUAGAUAUAGGAAGGAACACCAGUGGCG
rnacentral:rRNA from 1 species